GAUUCACACUGAAAGGCUUGGGGUUGACAGCUCCUGGAAACUCAGCACAGCUGUGCGGCCUUCCUCUCUGAGAGAGGAAUGGAAAGAAAGCAGUGCUCAAGAACACUCGCUGCUCUUCCCAAGCCUUGAGUUCAGUUCCCAGCACCUGGGAGCUGCAACUCUAGCAGGCCGCCCAGGG